rnacentral:misc_RNA from 1 species
GAUGAAGAACGUAGUGAAAUGCGAUAAUUAAUGUGAAUUGCAGAAUUCAGUGAAUCAUCGAGUCUUUGAACGCACAUUGCGCCGCCUGGUAGUCCGGGGGGCAUGCCUGUCCGAGCGUCAUUGCUGCCCUCAAGCACGGCUUGUGUGUUGGGCUUCCGUCCCUGGCAACGGGGACGGGCCCAAAAGGCAGUGGCGGCACCAUGUCUGGUCCUCGAGCGUAUGGGGCUUUGUCACCCGCUCCCGUAGGUCCAGCUGGCAGCUAGCCUCGCAACCAAUCUUUUUAACCAGGUUGACCUCGGAUCAGGUAGGGAUACCCGCUGAACUUAAGCAUAUCAAUAAGCGGAGGA